GACGAACGCUGGCGGCGUGCUUAACACACGCAAGUCGAACGGAAAGGCCCUGCUUUUGUGGGGUGCUCGAGUGGCGAACGGGUGAGUAACACGUGAGUAACCUGCCCUUGACUUUGGGAUAACUUCAGGAAACUGGGGCUAAUACCGGCUAGGAGCUCCUGCUGCAUGGUGGGGGUUGGAAAGUUUCGGCGGUUGGGGAUGGACUCGCGGCUUAUUAGCUUGUUGGUUGGGUAGUGGCUUACCAAGGCUUUGACGGGUAGCCGGCCUGAGAGGGUGACCGGCCACAUUGGGACUGAGAUACGGCCCAGACUCCUACGGGAGGCAGCAGUGGGGAAUAUUGCACAAUGGGCGGAAGCCUGAUGCAGCAACGCCGCGUGCGGGAUGACGGCCUUCGGGUUGUAAACCGCUUUCGCCUGUGACGAAGCGUGAGUGACGGUAAUGGGUAAAGAAGCACCGGCUAACUACGUG
rnacentral:rRNA from 1 species